UACGGAGGGUGCAAGCGUUGUUCGGAAUUACUGGGCGUAAAGGGCUCGUAGGCGGUUUGUCGCGUCUGCUGUGAAAACCUAAGGCUCAACCUUGGGCUUGCAGUGGGUACGGGCAGACUAGAGUGCGGUAGGGGUGACUGGAAUUCCUGGUGUAGCGGUGGAAUGCGCAGAUAUCAGGAGGAACACCGAUGGCGAAGGCAGGUCACUGGGCCGCAACUGACGCUGAGGAGCGAAAGCAUGGGGAGCGAACAGG
rnacentral:rRNA from 1 species